rnacentral:rRNA from 1 species
CGCCUUGCCAGCCCGCUCAGAAACUUAAAGGAAGUUGACGGGGGCCCGCACAAGCGGUGGAGUAUGUGGUUAAUUCGAUGCAACGCGAAGAACCUUACCUGGUCUUGACAUCCCGGAGACCCUUAGGAAACAGGGGGUGCUUCCAUCUGGAAGAAUCUGGAGACAGGUGCUGCAUGGCUGUCGUCAGCUCGUGUCGUGAGAUGUUGGGUUAAGUCCCGCAACGAGCGCAACCCUUGCCUUUAGUUGCCAGCAGUUCGGCUGGGCACUCUAAAGGGACUGCCGGUGUUAAACCGGAGGAAGGUGGGGAUGACGUCAAGUCCUCAUGGCCUUUAUGACCAGGGCUACACACGUACUACAAUGGCCGAUACAAAGGGCAGCGACACUGCGAGGUGAAGCCAAUCCCGUAAAAUCGGUCUCAGUCCGGAUUGGAGUCUGCAACUCGACUCCAUGAAGUUGGAAUCGCUAGUAAUCGUGGAUCAGCAUGCCACGGUGAAUACGUUCCCGGGCCUU